rnacentral:lncRNA from 1 species
CCGUCGCUCCCUCGUUGCGUCCCCUCGCUGGCGCGCUUCUCCGCGACACCAGCCGGGCAGGAAACCUACCCCGUGGAGGCAGUCAGCUGCGUCCUGGCUUGCCGAGGCCACCGCCUCUAUAGCUCAGGCUGGCAGGUCUCGUUGGUGGCGCCUUCGCAGAACCCCGCCGGGCCGGGAGUAGCGGAAGGCUCGCCUCCUCCCGCAUUCGCUCCGGCGCAGGGCUCCCCUAGCUCUGCCAGGCCACGUGACCUGCGAGCUGCGGAGCAACUGCAGCCCCCAAAGCUGGAUUGGGGGUGGGAGUUGCGGGGGAGGCAAAAGGCGCCAACUGAUGGGCAGCGAGGGAAAAGCAGGGUCGCUCCCAAGUCAGGAGAACAGGAAGACUGACCC